GCAGCGAAAUGCGAUAAGUAAUGUGAAUCGCAGAAUUCAGUGAAUCAUCGAAUCUUUGAACGCACAUUGCGCCCGCCAGCAUUCUGGCGGGCAUGCCUGUUCGAGCGUCAUUU
rnacentral:rRNA from 1 species